AGUGUGACGUCACGGCCCCUUCGAUACGCAUAGCAACGGAGAGCACUGGGGACAAACAAAAGUCGCGUCCUCUGGAUGGAACCAGUUGUGAAGGGCAACAGCAUCUAAAUGACUGGAGAGAGAGCAGUUUUUCUUUGCUUUUUCGUCAAGCGAUUGUUGUCGCUCUUUACUCCUUGUUCUUUACUCUACAAAUCUCCUGUAGUCGUCGAGGGCCUUCAUAAUGGCUGUGAAAUUGGCUGCCCACUGUAAAACUCCGUGUUUGAGAGUGCUUUGAAGAUUCUUCGCCUCCUGAUGGAUCAAAGUACGAGCGCUCCCUGUGGAUUCGAUUAUAUGUAGGAAGUGACUGUCUGGUGUAUCUGCACCAGAUCCUGGGGAAAUGAAGUCAGAUGCAGAGGCAGGGUCGUCCAGUGAUGCAACACUGCCGUUCUAUGUGCAACGGCACCGCUAAUUCCCCCGGCGAAAACACAAACACGUGAAGAGA